CGCAAGGAGGAGGGGGGGGGAAAGCGCCAUGUUACCCUCGAUGGGCGCCGAACAUGGUGUCUCCGGUGAGCUGCAAGCGGGUAAUCCGAGUGGACGUCCGUGCCCCAUUCGUUAGGGGUCGGCUAGGGGCCCAGAGGCACGCCCAAAAGUACCUGCGGGUGAUCUGCCGGACCCGGUCCCCUGGCGACGGGGUCCGAGGGCUCGAUGCCUCCCUCCGAUGGGAUUCCGUUACAAGAUCGCUCCCGCUGGUCUCGGAAAUGUCCUAGGGUACCUCGGGAGCGCAGCCCGAGCCUCGGUUAUGUAUCGAACGUACCCCUGGUCAUCCCUCGCUCGACGUCUGAGGCGGCUGUGAACCCUUCGGAGGCCAGCCUUCGAACCCCUGAUCAGUAAUGGGCGCGGAGCCCGAGUAGCCUGAGGCGGCCGUGGAACCCUUCGGGGGGCCGGCCUUCGAACCUCUGACCAGUAGUGGGUGUAGGGCCCACGCGAUCUGAGGCGGCUGUUGAACCCUUCGGGGGGCCAGCCUUCGAACCUCUGAUCAGUAGGGAGGCUCGGAGCCCGGUUCCUUCACAGGGGAGGAUCCUUUUCGGGGUAUCCCCCUUUCCCGGUUCCUGUUGCAAGAGAUAGAGAAAGAGGAAAAAAAGGAAAAGGAUACGAAAUCGAACGACGUGGCGUACCUUUUUUGGUGCGGUUAUUACGGUGAAGGCGAAGCGUCGCCCGCUUCUCCUGCCAGAAGCGCCGCCUGUCCUGCCGCGGAGUUAAUGCGACGGGGCGAGCGGUUGGCGGGGCGGCCGUUGCGCAUGCGCGAGCCGUUCGAGGAACGGAUCACGGGCGCGUCGUCUUCACGCCGUGAGAGGGGGUUCUCUUGCUGCCCCCAGAUGGGACGUGAGCUUGGCUGAUGACGUGACCGCUGCUCCCGCCCGCCUGCCACCGUCGUUACUGCCGGCCCACUUUCGGCCGCAUUGACCGCCGCGCCAGGCUGGCGCUGCUGGGUCGUGCGCUGGGUCGCCUCGAGUCGCGGUAUUGGUUCCACAAUCCAGGAGGCGCGGUGGUGGCGCAAGUGGCGGUGCAGUUGCUUGCAUGCAGCAUUCGGCGCGCCGGUUGCGUGACGCGUGGGCCUGGGCCUCGAGGCUGGGCGCGUUGGGAGUCGGAGAAGCGCGUCCACUUGGCGCGGUUGCAUGCCGCCUGCAUGGCUGCCCGCCUCUUUCGCCCGUUGGUCUGGGCAAAAGUGGAGGGUCACUUGUAACCGUCGGGCGGUCGUGUGUGCACCACUCGCGGCGGUUUGGCUUCUUCUGCUCUGAACCGGCUUGCAUGACAUGCGGGACCCAGCCCCCGCGCCGCUGGGGAAGGCCUUGGAGCGUGUUGGAGAAGACUCAGCCCGUGACGGCUGGGGGCACGAGUAGGGAGAGUUGCCUUUAAAAGGAGGGCGACCCCUUUGGAAGGCGACCAUGUCUUCUCGCUCCCUUAUGUAUCGCGUCUCUCCACCUUCCAAGCCCCCGGAUGGGGGAUACCCGCCGUCUUUUCGCCUCAUCGUUGGAGGAACGCAACUCCGUGGGAGUUGGUACCUUUCAGCCAUCGUUCGGCUUCAAGGAUUUUCAUCACACAGCCCGGUUGCUCCCCUUCGCUGGUGGUCACCCAAGACGGUGACCUCCAGCUCCUGGAUGGGGAGAGGCAAUCCGGGCUGUGAUCCCGAUCCCGCCCUCAGCAUCGAGGGUGUUCGUCAUCCUCGCUGGGGCGGGGAGCGAGGCGAGCCGGGGCUCUACCUCCUGCGCGGGUCGGUGGGCCACCUCUUCUUCUAGCUUCUGGUGGUGGCAAUCGUCCUCCAGCCCUGCGGCGGAGACGUCCUCCAGCCAUGCCGGGGAAGGCGAACUGUUGCUGCCCAGCUAGGAUGCAACAUUCCGCCCUCUCCCUCGCAUUCGCGGCGAGGACGGCAGCGAGGAUCUGCCGGUGCGCUUGGGAGCGGCCCGCUCUUUGGCUUCAAUAGCUGGUUCGCGUCCCUUGAGCGGGACCGCGAACGAGAGCCCUCCGGCGGCUGCGUCCACCCGGGACCAUGGCUGCUGCUGCAGAGGUCGCUGGCGAGUCUCCCAAUGUUCGUCGCCCCGCAGGCUCGAGGUCGCUCAUACCCGCGGGGACGGAACCAGAGUUCCGUUUGUAAUGGCACUUUGAAUGCCAGUGUUUUUGUUCAUUAUGGCUGUCGAGGCCUGAACAUGUAUGUAAUUUUGGCACGGAGCCGUGUUUUUUCCUCAUUUUCGAGCACUAAGACUCGCCUGUUGAUUAUCUGAACCGCUUCACCAAGCAUGAGUCGCCCCGUGUCAAGGUGACGAGUGAGGUAUCCGUAUCCCGGAGGUGUAGGAGUCCCUCGGCUCGGUCGGCCUUGUUGUCUGAGGCUCCUCUAGCUUAGUUAAAGGGACCCCUUGGCCGCUCUUCGACGAGCCAAGGCCAGGGGUAGCGAUAUCAGCAUGAACAAAGGCGGAGUUGGCUCGAAAAUGAAAACCUGGUUGGCCGGAGCCUAGCCGGGUUGUCCGUUAGCGGGACCGACGCCGGAGUUGACCAGCCGAGGCCUCAGGUCGGGCUGGCGCCCUUGAAAGAUGGUUGGCCGAGGCCCCAGAGGUGACCGGCCGAGCCGGCUGCUCGGGCCGGAUUCCCGGAGAAGACCCUGGCGGCGAUGGCCCGGGCGUGGCGAUGACGUCGCCCUUCAGAGUGGAGGUCUUCGGACCGCGUCACCGUCCGAGGCUAGGUCGAACCUCGCCGAAGUUGUUGUCGAUGCUGAGGGUGCUGCUGCCCCCUUCUAGCGUCAAGACCCGAGCCUGCAGGAUCAGAUUGUCUUGUAGCGUAUGCCUUCUGCGGCCGCCGAGGCCAGAAUACACACCCUCGCUGUGUUGUAAAGCUGCGUCUCCUUUCCUCUUGUUUCGAGUAUCUGGACUUUUUUGUCGGUAACAGGGAUGUUUGUGCGAGCGAGAGUUGCUUCUCGUGGAAGGUGAUGAGUGAGGUAUCCGUAUCCCGGAGGCGUGGGAGUCCCUCGGCUCAGUCGGCCUUGCCGCUUACGCGCACUUUCACCCGUCCAUGAGGCUCUGUCACCGACUCAGUCGAGAAGGCUCGAAGGAUCUCUUGGGCAGAAGAGCUUCCGAACGUGAAGACUUGUUCGGUCCGCGGAAUCACUUUAUCCGAACGCGAGUUACUUAUCGCAGAAGGUGAUGAGUGAGGUAUCCGUAUCCCGGAGGCGUAGGAGUCCCUCGGCUCGGUCAGCCUUGGCUGCUUACGUGUACUCCGUCGUUUUCAGGAUCCACUUUUCGAAGUAGUCAGAAAGCACGAAAGAUAUUCUGGCAGAAAGGAUCUUUUUUUGAGGAAAAUUUCAACGCAGAGGGGGUUCCCCCCCUUUUAGCCCCCGAGGGAGGGUCGGGCUUUACCGAGGCGAGGCCGACCCUUCCUUGAUGACUAAACUUUGCGUGGGUGCGAGGUAUAUGAACAACUUGAAAACAUCUUAAGGGUAGAAGCGACGUAGCUGCUGGAUGUUCCAAGCGUUGCCGUAGACCUCGCCUUGACUGUUGGCCAGCUUGUACGUUCCGGGCUUCAGAACUUUGGCGAUGAUGAAUGGCCCCUCCCAGGGGGGCGUGAGCUUGUGCCUCCCUCGGGCGUCUUGCCGCAGCCGAAGCACCAGGUCGCCCACCCGGAGGUCUCGGGGCCGGACCCCUCGGGCGUGGUAGCGUCGCAGGGACUGCUGGUACCGCGCCGAGUGUAGCAAGGCCUUGUCCCGAGCCUCUUCCAGCUGGUCCAGCGAGUCUUCUCGGCUAACUUGGUUGCUUUGAUCGCUGUAGGCCCUCGUCCUUGGGGAGCCGUAUUCCAGGUCAGUGGGCAAGACGGCCUCGGCCCCGUAGACCAGGAAGAACGGCGUGAAACCCGUGGCUCGGCUCGGCGUUGUCCUCAGGCUCCAGACCACCGAGGGGAGUUCCUUCAUCCAUCGCUUGCCGAACUUGUUGAGGUCGUUGUAAAUCCGAGGCUUGAGCCCUUGUAGAAUCAUGUCGUUGGCACGCUCUACUUGCCCAUUCGACAUGGGAUGAGCCACGGCGGCCCAGUCCACCCGGAUGUGGUGACCCUCGCAGAAGUCCAAGAAUUUUCUGCUGGUGAACUGGGUACCGUUGUCGGUGAUGAUGGAGUUCGGGACCCCGAAGCGAUGGAUGAUGUUGGUGAAGAACGUCACCGCCUGCUCGGACCUGAUGCUGUUCAGGGGUCGGACCUCGACCCACUUGGAGAAUUUGUCGAUGGCGACCAGCAGGUGCGUGUAGCCCCCGGGCGCCUUCUGCAAGGGGCCGACGAGGUCCAGACCCCACACAGCAAAGGGCCAGGUGAUGGGUAUCGUCUGCAGAGCCUGAGCGGGCAGGUGGGUCUGCUACGCAUAGAAUUGACACCAUUCGCAGGUACGGACAAUUCUAGUGGCGUCAGCCACCGCCGUUGGCCAGUAGAAGCCUUGCCGGAAAGCAUUCCCGACAAGGGCUCGAGGCGCUGCGUGAUGGCCGCAAGCCCCCGAGUGUAUCUCUUGCAGGAGUUCCUGACCUUCGGUGAUGGAGAUGCAUCGCUGGAGGAUGCCCGAGGGCUGCGGUGGUAGAGCUCCUUCUCAUCGCCCAGCAAGACGAACGACUUGGCGCGUCGCGCUACCCGCCGAGCCUCGGCUCGGUCGAGGGGUAGCUCUCCUUGGCGGAGAUACUGCAGGUACGGGGUCUGCCAAUUUCGAUCAGGCGUGGCCCCGCUCCGCUCCUCCUCGACGUGUAGUGCCUCGCCCUCGAAGGCCGAGGGUACCUCGGGCUGAACCGAGGGCGCCUCGGGCCGAGCUGAGGGCGCCUCGGGAUGCGCCGAGGGUACCUCGGGCUGGACCGAGGGCGCCUCGGGCCGAGCUGAGGGUGCCUCGGGCUACGCCGAGGGUACCUCGGGCUGGACCGAGGGCGCCUCAGGCUCGGGCGAGUCGUCGAUCUUGACGGAGGGUUGAUGCAGAUCCCGGGAGAAGACGUCCAGGGGAACCGUUGUUCGCCCCGAGGCUAUUUUUGCCAGCUCGUCCGCAGUCUCGUUGUAGCGCCGAGCGAUGUGGUUAAGCUCGAGCCCGUAGAACUUGUCUUCCAGGCGCCGAACCUCAUCGCAGUAGGCCUCCAUCUUCGGGUCGCGGUAGUGGGAGUUCUUCAUGACUUGGUCGAUGACGAGCUACGAGUCACCGCGGGCGUCGAGGCGCCUGACCCCUAGCUCGAUGGCGAUCCGCAACCCGUUGACCAGAGCCUCGUACUCAGCCACAUUGUUGGACACCGGGAAAUGGAGGCGUAGCACAUAGCGUAGGUGUUUCCCGAGGGGCGAGAUGAAGAGUAGGCCCGCGCCAGCUCCCGUCUUCAUCAGCGACCCGUCGAAAAACAUGGUCCAAAGCUCUGGUUGGAUCGGAGCCGUCGGCAGCUGGGUGUCGACCCAUUCGGCUACGAAGUCCGCCAAUACCUGGGACUUGAUGGCCUUCCGAGGGGCGAACGAGAUUGUCUCGCCCAUGAUUUCCACCACCCACUUUGCAAUCCUGCCCGAGGCCUCUCGGCACUGGAUGAUCUCCCCCAGGGGGAAGGAUGACACCACAGUUACCGGAUGAGACUCGAAGUAGUGUCGCAACUUCCGCCUCGUCAGGAUCACUGCAUACAGCAGCUUCUGAACUUGUGGGUAGCGGAUCUUGGUCUCGGACAGUACCUCGCUGACGAAGUAAACUGGCCUCUGAACGGGCAAUGCAUGCCCCUCUUCUUGCCUCUCGACCACAAUCGCGACGCUAACCACCUGAGUGGUCGCGGCGACGUAGACCAAGAGGGCUUCCCCAUCAGUUGGAGGCACCAAGAUAGGCGCCUUUGUGAGGAGCGCCUUCAGGUUCCCGAGAGCUUCCUCGGCCUCAGGGGUCCAAGCGAAGCACUCAGCCUUCCUUAAGAGGCGGUACAGUGGCAGGCCUCUUUCGCCGAGGCGUGGGAUGAAGCGGCUCAAGGCCGCAAGACAUCCCAUGACCCUCUGUACGCCUUUUAAGUCCUUGAUGGGCCCCAUGCUGGUGAUGGCUGCGAUCUUCUCCGGGUUGGCUUCGAUGCCCCGCUCGGAGACGAUGAACCCCAAGAGCAUGCCCCGGGGGACCCCGAAGACACACUUCUCGGGAUUGAGCUUGACGCCUUUCGCUUUGAGACAUCGGAAUGUUACUUCAAGGUCGGAGAGGAGGUCGGAAGCUUUCCUUGUCUUGACUACGAUGUCAUCGACGUAGGCCUCGACCGUGCAACCGAUGUGUUGGCCGAACACAUGGUUCAUGCACCGCUGAUACGUCGCGCCCGCAUUCCUCAAUCCGAACGGCAUGGUGACAUAGAAGUACAUGCCGAAGGGCGUGAUGAAAGAAGUCGCGAGCUGGUCAGACUCUUUCAUCCUGAUCUGGUGAUACCCUGAGUAGGCGUCGAGGGAAGACAGGGUUUCGCACCUAGCAGUGGAAUCCACGAUUUGAUCGAUGUGAGGCAGAGGGUAGGGAACCUUCGGACAUGCUUUGUUGAGACCAGUGUAGUCUACAUACAUCCGCCAUUUCCCCCCUUUCUUUCUCACAAGCACAGGGUUGGCAAGCCAUUCGGGAUGGAAUACCUCUUUGAUGAACCCUGCUGCCAUUAGCUUGUGGAUCUCCUCGCCUAUCACUCUGCGCUUCUCCUCGUCGAAUCGGCGCAGAGGCUGCUUGACGGGUCGGGCUCCGGCCCGAAUAUCCAGCGAGUGCUCAGCGACAUCCCUCGGUAUGCCGGGCAUGUCCGAGGGACUCCACGCAAAGACGUCGGCGUUUGCGCGGAGAAAGUCGACGAGCACUGCUUCCUAUUUGGGGUCGAGCCCGGAACCGAUCCGGAUCUGCUUGGAGGUGUCGCCACUGGGGUCGAGAGGGACGGCCUUGACCGUCUCCACUGGCUCGAAGUUGCCGGCAUGGCGCUUCACGUCGGGCACCUCUUUGGAGAGGCUUUCCAGGUCGGCGAUGAGGGCCUCGGACUCGACGAGGGCCUCGGCGUACUCCACGCACUCCACGUCGCAUUCGAACGCGUGUUUGUACGUGGGGCCGACGGUAAUGACCCCGUUGGGGCCCGACAUCUUGAGCUUCAGGUAGGUGUAGUUGGGGAUGGCCAUGAACUUCGCAUAGCAUGGCCUCCCCAGUACCGCGUGGUAGGUUCCUCGGAACCCGACCACCUCGAACGUCAGAGUCUCCCUUCGGAAGUUGGAGGACGUUCCGAAGCAGACGGGAAGGUCGAGUCGUCCGAGGGGCUGGACGCGCUUCCCGGGAAUGAUCCCGUGGAAGGGCGCAGCGCCUGCUCGGACGGAGGACAGAUCGACGCACAGGAGCCUGAGGGUCUCGGCGUAGAUGAUGUUGAGGCAGCUGCCCCCGUCCAUAAGGACCUUGGUGAGCCUGACGUCGCCGAUGAUGGGGUCGACGACGAGCGGGUAUUUCCCGGGCUCGGCACGUGGUCGGGGUGGUCAGCUUGGUCGAAGGUGAUGGGCUUGUCGGACCAGUCUAGGUAGACUGGCGCCGCCACCUUCACCGAGUAGACCUCCUGGCGCUCUUGCUUGCGAUGUCGAGCCGAGGCAUUUGCCGCAUGCCCACCGUAGAUCAUGAAGCAGUCGCGGACCUCGGGGAACUCUCCUGCUUGGUGAUCUUCCUGCUUGUCGUCGUCGCGGGCCCUGCCACCCUCCACGGGUGGCCCGGCCCUGUGGAAGUGGCGCCAAAGCAUGACGCACUCCUCAAGGGUGUGCUUGACGGGCCCCUGAUGAUAGGGGCACGGCUCCUUGAGCAUCUUGUCGAAGAGGUUGGCACCUCCGGGGGGCUUCCGAGGGUUCUUGUACUCGGCGGCGGCGACAAGGUCCACGUCGGCGGCGUCGUGUUUCGCUUGCGACUUCUUCUUGCCUUUCUUCUUGGCGCCGCGCGGAGUAGACGCCUCGGGAGCAUCUUCCGAUGGGCGGCCCUGGGGCUGCUUGUCCUUUCGGAAGAUAGCUUCGACCGCCUCCUGGCCAGAGGCGAACUUGGUGGCGAUGUCCAUCAGCUCGCUCGCCCUGGUGGGGGUCUUGUGACCCAACUUACUCACCAGGUCGCGGCAGGUGGUGCCGGCAAGGAACGCGCCGAUGACAUCCGAGUCGGUGAUGUUGGGCAGCUCGGUGCGCUGCUUCGAGAAUCGCCGGAUGUAGUCCCGGAGAGACUCUCCCGGCUGCUGCCGGCAGCUUCGGAGGUCCCAGGAAUUCCCGGAGCGCACGUACGUGCCCUGGAAAUUGCCGGCGAAGGCUUGGACCAGGUCAUCCCAGUUGGAGAUCUGCCCCGGAGGCAGGUGCUCCAACCAGGCGCGAGCGGUGUCGGAGAGGAACAGGGGGAGGUUGCGGAUGAUGAGGUUGUCGUCGUCCGUUCCACCCAGUUGGCAGGCCAGGCGGUAGUCCGUGAGCCACAGUUCUGGUCUCGUUUCCCCCGAGUACUUUGUGAUAGUAGUCGGGGGUCGAAACCGGGUCGGGAACGGCGCCCGUCGGAUGGCCCGGCUGAAGGCCUGCGGACCGGGUGGUUCGGGCGAGGGACUCCGAUCCUCCCCGCUGUCAUAGCAUCCCCCACGCCUGGGGUGGUAACCUCGGCGCACCCUUUCGUUGAGGUGGGCCCGACGGUCGCGAUGAUGGUGCUCGUUGCCGAGGUGGCCCGGGGCCGCAGGCGCGGUGUUGCGCGUGCGCCCGGUGUAGACCGAGGCUUCCCGCAUGAAUCGGGAAGUCGCGGCAUGAGGUUCCGAGGGGUAUCUCUGCCUUCGGGAGGCAGAGCUCUCAGCCCGUUGGACCGCAGCGCCUUCCAGGAGAUUCUUGAGCUCUCCCUGGAUUCGCCGACCCUCGGUGGUUGAUGGCUCCGGCAUCGCACGGAGAAGCAUCGCUGCUGCAGCCAGGUUCUGACCGACCCCACUGGAUGCGGGUGGUGGCCUGAGCCUGACGCCGUCGGCGACGCGGUGCUGGAGACCCUGGGGCAGGUGACGUAUUUCUCCGGCCGGGGGUUGGCCCGCCCAUGCCUGCCCGACGUCCCGACGGAUCGGCUCAAGCGCUCCUGCUUCCUCGUCGAGCCUGGCCUGCGCCCCGCGGACUUGCUCGAGUUGUGGGUCGUGACCCCCCGCCGGAACGGGGACCACAGCUAGCUCCCGCGGGAUGUCAGCGCGAGGCACCGGCCUAGGGAGAUCACCGUCCUCCGGCAUGCCGAGAUGAUUGCCUUCGGAGGGAUCCCCUAGCUCGACGUGGAAACACUCGCGGCUUGGGCCGCAGUCCUCGUCGUCGGGGCUGCGGCUACCGUCGGAACAGUCGGAGAGGCAGUAGUCACAUGCGGUCAUGAAGUCCCGCAUGGCACUGGGGUUGCCAAAUCCAGAGAAAUCCCAACAGAUGUUGGGGUCGUCAUCUUCCUCGGACCCAGAGGGCCCGUAGGUCGAGACGUCCGUCAGCCGGUCCCAAGGCGACCGCAUGCGAAACCCCAGAGGGUUUGAACUCGCCUCUACGAGAGUGCCCACCAAAGCAAGGUCGCUAGGCGGGUUGUGGCUGAGUCCAAAUGACGUGGGAUGGGAAUCGGUCGGUACCUUUCGGUCGACGAGCAGCGACAUAGUCACGUCGGGGACUGAUUGCACCGCCGUCUCAGGUACGAGGGCGACGUCCUGCAAGCUCUCCGCGAGCGCGCUGGCGUCGUCCACUUGCUCGGGAUUGGCGUGUCGCGGGGAGACGGCGCUCGCCUUCGUCUCAAACGCGAGGUCGACGCCCGGCGCGCCUCCCGUUGGAGCGCUGGGGACGUCGACUCGCUCGACAGCCGACGAGGCGCGGCCUCCCGCUUGGCCUUGGUUGCCCCGCCUCCUCCUCCGUUGGCGGGGGAGAGGACGGGGUGAGCUCGAAUGUUGUUCUUCCACCGUGCGGGGAAGACGUCGUCGAUCCCGCCGCCGGCGGGCGGGCUGUCGGCCGCCAUCGUCGUUGUCGCGCGGCGGUGGAAGGAGUAUCAUGUCGUAGCUGCCGUCGAAGGACAUGAACUCAAGACUCCCGAAACGGAGCACCAUCCCAGGCCGGAGAGGUUGCUGGAGACUGUCCAUCUGGAGCUUGACGGGAAGCUGUUCGUCAACACGCAGCAGGCCCCUACCUGGCGCGCCAACUGUCGGCGUUUCGAGACCGGGGGUUCCCUAAGCCGACGAGUGAAUGUCGCCGCGUGCCCCAGCCCAGAUGGGUCGAGCGCGUGGGCGAGCGCGAAGGGGGGAAGUGAGGUGGCCGGAGAUGGGUGUGAGAGAGGUGGAAAUCCCGCGGCCUUCGUGUUCGUCCCGCGCCCAGGUCGGGUGCGCUUGCAGUAGGGGGUUACAAGCGUGCACACGGGAGAGGGAAGCGAGCGGCCCCAAGAGAGCGCCUGUCCCGUCCUCGUCCCCGCGCGGCCAACCUUCUCUAAGAGGGCCCUGGUCCUUCCUUUUAUAGGCAUAAGGAGAGGAUCCAGGUGUACAAUGGGGGUGUAGCAGAGUGCUACGUGUCUAGCGGGGGAGAGCUAGCGCCCUAAGUACAUGCCGAUGUGGCAGCCGGAGAGAUCUUGGCACCCAGCUGGUGUGAUGUCGUGGCCGUCGGAGGAGCGACGGAGCCUGGCGGAGGGACAGCUGUCGGAGCGGUUGAGUCCUUGCUGACGUCCUCCUGCUUCCGUAAGAGAGCUGAGAGUCGCCGUCGUCACAGAGCUUGCGGGGCGCCAUCAUUGCCUAUCUGGCGGAGCUAGCCAGAUGGGACACCGGUCUUGUUCUCUGCGGCCCGAGUCAGCUCGGGGUAGGGUGAUGAUGGCGCUUCCUGUUGACGUGGCUGGCUUGCGCCCUAGGUUGGGCGACGUGGAGGCUCCUCCGAAGCCGAGGUCGAGUCUGUCUUCCGUGGCCGAGGCCGAGUCCGAGCCCCUGGGUCGGGCGAGGCGGAGGUCGUUCGGCAGAGGCCAGGGCGGAGUCCGAGCCCUGGGGUCGGGCGAAGCGGAGUUCGUCGUCUUCUGGGGCUGAGCCCGAGUCCGAGCCCUGGGGUCGGGCGAAGCGGAGUUCGUCGUCUUCUGGGGCUGAGCCCGAAUCCGAGCCCUGGGGUCGGGCGGAGCGGAGUUCGUCGUCUUCUGGGGCUGAGCCCGAGUCCGAGCCCUGGGGUCGGGCGAAGCGGAGUUCGUCGUCUUCUGGGGCUGAGCCCGAAUCCGAGCCCUGGGGUCGGGCGGAGCGGAGUUCACCGUCUUCCGGGACUUAGCCCGAGUCCGAGCCCUGGGGUCGGGCGGAGCGGAGUUCGCCGUCAUCCGGGACUUAGCCCGAGUCCGAGCCCUGGGUCGGGCGGAGCGGAGUUCGCCAUCUUCCGGGACUUAGCCCGAGUCCGAGCCCUGGGUCGGGCGGAGCGGAGCUUCCUAUGGUGCCUUUGGCAGGGCCUGACUGCCUGUCAGUUUCACUCUGUCAAGUGGCACUGCAGUCGGAGUGGCGCAGGCGGCGCUGUCCUUUUGUCAGGCCGGUUAGUGGAGCGGCGAAGUGACGGCGGUCACUUCGGCUCUACCGGGGGGCGCGUGUCAGGAUAAAGGUGUCAGGCCACCUUUGUGUUAAAUGCUCCUGCGAUUCGGUCGGUCGGUGCGGCGAUUCAGUCAGGGUUGCUUCUUAGCGAAGGCAGGGCCUCGGGCGAGCCGGAGAUGUGUCCGCCGUUGGAGGGGGGCCUCGGGCGAGACGGAAAUCCUCCAGGGUCGGCUGCCCUUGUCUGAGGCUAGGCUUGGGCGAGGCAUGAUCAAGUCGCUCGUAUGGACUGAUCCCUGACUUAAUCGCACCCAUCAGGCCUUUGCAGCUUUAUGCUGAUGGGGGUUACCAGCUGAGAAUUAGGAGUCUUGAGGGUACCCCUAAUUAUGGUCCCCGACAGUUAUAUUUCAGUGGAGCCCACUUUACAUGAGCAGAUAGUCAUGGCACAGGUUGGUGACAAGGGUGUUCAAGUCAUUAAGGAAAUGUUCGAACAAAAGGUGGACAAAUACAAAUGCUUCUGUCAGGACAACAAAGGAAUUCUAUGGUUUGGAGACCGAUUGGUUUUUCCCAAGAACCCCAAUCUUAGAAAGAAAAUAUUGGAUGAAGCUCACCUUUCCAAAUUCUCCAUGCACCCCGGUAGUAACAAGAUGUAUCAUGAUCUUAGAUCCUUGUACUGGUGGACCAGAAUGAAGAGGGAAAUUGCUAAGUAUAUAUCUGAGUGCGACACUUGCCAAAGAGUCAAGGCCAGUCAUUUGAAGGUGGCAGGCUCUUUACAGCCCCUUCCCAUACCAUCUUGGAAAUGGGAGGAUAUUUGCAUGGAUUUCAUUGUGGGAUUGCCCAGCACUUCCCAGCACCACGAUUCUAUUUGGGUCAUUGUGGAUAGGUUGACCAAGACAACUCAUUUCUUGCUAGUAGAUACCACAGGGCAAAGAAGUAUGCAGAAAUCUACAUUGACCAGAUAGUUUGCUUGCAUGGAAUACCAAGGACUAUUGUGUAUGACAGAGGAGCACCAUUUGUAGCAUGUUUCUGGGAGCAAUUGCAAGAAUCACUUGGGACCCAUGUAAUAAGAAGCUCAGCAUACCACCCUCAAACAGAUGGUCAGAAAGAAAGGGUAAAUCAGAUUUUGGAAGACAUGUUGAGGGCAUGUGUGAUACACUAUGGGAAGGAUUGGGACAAGUGUCUUUCAUUGGCGGAGUUCUCUUACAAUAACAACUACCAGUCCAGCCUAAAGAUGGCACCUUUUGUGGCCUUGUAUGGGAGAAGGUGUAGGACACCGCUAAAUUGGUCACAAGCUGAAGAGAGGGAAAUAUUUGGACCUAACUUGGUACUAGAAUUAGAGGAGAAAGUCAGAAUCAUUAAGAGGAACUUAGAGGCUGUUCAGACCAGGCAAAAGAGCUAUCAUGACAAGAGGAGGAAGCCUCUACAGUUUGAAGUGGGAGAUCAUGUUUAUCUUAAGGUGUCACCCACCAAAGGUGUUCAGAGAUUUGGAAGCAAGGGCAAUUUAGCUCCUCGCUACAUUGGGCCCUAUGAGAUCAUAGAAACUUGUGGACCUGUAGCAUAUCAAUUGAAGUUGCCGCCCCAUAUGUCAGCAGUUGAUGAUGUCUUCCACGUAUCUCAGCUACGAAAGUGUGUCCGCUUACCCACAGAAGUGCUACCUGAACCAGAAUUGGAGAUAGAACUAGACUUGUCCUAUCAAGAGCACCCCAUCAAGGUAUUGGACCAAAAGGAGAGAUCAACGCGGGCAAGGUCGAUCAGGAUGUAUAAGGUUCAGUGGAGUCACCAUUCAGUAGAAGAUGCUACGUGGGAGACUGAGGAUUUUCUACGUUCUCGCUUCCCCAACUUUCUAACCAAAGGAGUCGGUACAUAAUCCAAAAACCCCACCCCCACCUGCCCUUUGAAUAUAAAUAUAAGAAAAACCUAGAUGUUAAGAGUAGAGUGAGUUGUGGAAAGAAAUCAAAAAGGGCUUCCAUCUGAAUUUGCAAAGAGAAUGACAUUCGAAGAGCAGUUAACUAGAGAAACUUGGCUGAAGGAAAAUGCAACACAUAGCACACCUUCUUUGUACCCCUUAAAGGAUCCCUACCCAAAAUCUCAAGGCGAGAUUCCUUUAAGGGGGGAGGGUUGUAACACCUCAGGUGUUACCAAGACACUGGCUUCAUACUUGCACUAAGGACCUAUUAUCACAUGUGGUUAAUUGGAGUAGCAGAAGCACAUAAGACUUUGGAAGCAUGAGUUAGCUAAGAAAUGUUAAGGACAAAAGCAUUACCCAAGCAUUUAUGCAAUAAUCACCUUGGGCAAGAGAGGAUUAAACCCUAGACCCUUCUUGAGCCCUUAACUCCCAAAACCCUGGUUUAAGGGAAAUGUUAAACAAAUGUGCAAAUCAUGAGUUAACCCUUAACCAAAGUUUAAGUAACAUUAUAAUCUACAAAAUGUAGAGGGGAAACAUUACAAAAAGACCCCUUAAAGACCCCAAAUCCAUUCUUUAAGUAGAAAGCACCCUAGAGCUCUCUAAUUCUCUCUAAGUCAAAAUUUAACCCUAAUCUAGAGAUCAGAUAUGUUCACUUAGUAAAUGGCACCAAAACCACUUGGUCUAAAUAUCAAAAAGGUGCCAAACCACCUAAGGCACCCACUGGAAAUGUUUGAACCCGAGCUAAAUUCGUUUGACAUGAUUUGGCAUCACUUUUGUCGCAAGGUGGAGAGUGAGACAAGCCAGAUUUGGCGUCCGCAAAUCUUCUGACCUAGGGCUUAUCUCCCCUUGGAACUCACAUACAAGAGAUAGCCAUAGGUACCAGGAACAUGUCUGCACCGGAUUUCUGCCAAGAUUCGCAUGUUUGCGAUCUCAGCAAGCUUUUGAACAUGGGCAGAAGAACACCUCCACGUGUUCGACGCGCCCUGAACGCGCUAGAGCACGCCCGACGCCCGAACCCGCGCGCCCCGCGCCGCGCCAAGCCACGCCCGUGUCCCCUGCCCGCGCCUGCGCCUAUAAAGCCAGCCAAGGCUUCAGUCGUACGCCCUCGCUCGCUCUCGACCUCACCGGAGUACGAGAUCGCCGGAGUUUGCCCUGCACACGGCAUGCCAGCGGCCGCCCGAGCACCCGCCACCUUAAACCGGCAUGCCCUAACUUCUAUUCAUAUCCAGUAAGAACUCCAAAAGCAAGUCAACUCCUAUUAGAGUAAGUAGUAAGUAGAGUUUAGGGAGGUUGAGGAGUGGAAGCUUGCUGUGGCCUAAAGGCUAGUAUCAUAAAGGUGUGUAAGUUCAACUCUUGUAGAGCCUCCACUUUUCUUUCCAUGGAUCACACAGUGAGCGUAUUUGGUAUUUGGAUAUUAUCUGUAUCAAUGACCUGGUGAAUCCUCUUACUCUUAAUAAAUCAUUAGACAAAAUUAAUAAACUAGAAAAGAUCGAUAUCAAGAUAAAACUUGCACAUUUUCCAUUCUGAAAUGUUCCAUAGUAGGUGAAUCACUUUAACUAAUUAAAAAUUCUCAAAAUUAGUGGACUUCCUCUUCGAAAUAGAAAUUGGCUAUUUCCACAUAGGGAAAGUCGUGUGCAAUGAAAAAUGCAAGCACGAUUUGGGGAGGGGUUUUUUCUAUUGUAACAAGGAAGAAUUAUCUACUCCAUCCGACUAGUUCCGGGUUCGAGUCCCGGGCAACCCAUAUGGAAAAUAGAAAAGAGCAAUCUGAGUUUUUCAUUUUUAUUAACUUCAUUUCCCAAAUUUUUGGAUUUGGUAAAUGAAGUUAUACGAAAAUCCAAUCGUUGGGGCUGGCUUGGUUGACAUUGGUAUAUAGACUAUGUUAUACUGUUAAAUAACAAGCCUUCUAUUAUCUAUUUUCUUUCUAGUUAAUACGUGUGCUUGGGAGUCCUUGCAAUUUGAAUAAACCAAGAUCUUACCAUGACUGCAAUUUUAGAGAGACGCGAAAGUACAAGCCUGUGGGGUCGCUUCUGCAACUGGAUAACUAGCACCGAAAAGCAGAGCCAUUCCCAGCCCUGU
rnacentral:lncRNA from 1 species